CCGACACACCGCGGUGCUGCCGUAUCCUCACAGGACGUCCGUCCUUACCUCCGUCACCGCUGUCUUGCUUACUGUGUGACUGGCAGUCGGCUAUUUUGUCCUGCGUUUGUGGUGCUAUUACAUCCGAACAGUCUCCGCUACAAGUAUUUUACAAUGUCAGUCCUGUAGAGAGCGGUAGAUGGUUUUAUUGAAUUGUUUUAUACGGGCUGCGAGCUGUGCGCGCCCUGUACUGUACAAAAACGAGGGGAGGAGGAGCAAUAGUAUUUCUCUUGAUUUCCUACCCCUGUCGUGGCAGCCAACGAACACGACCGGAGCACUUUUUCCCCACAUACCAAGGAAAAUCCACAAUAACGAGCGCACAGUGAAUUCGCUAAAGAGCAACACGGGAACUGCAUGAAACAUUAAUUUGACGGCACGCUGCGCCCUGCGGAGGAAUUAGCUCGAAUAUCCCUUACUGUGCAGUGUAUAGGCUACUACUACACUUGCACUGGAUUGAGGGACAGCCUGGACAUUCCCAGUCCCGUUUUCUGUCCCGAAAGGUUCCAGUUUGUGUCUUCGGCGACGGAAGAAACCGGCGGGCGGUGGCCAGCAGUCACAGCAAGCCAGGGCCUGGGGAAAUCAUUAACCAGACAAACCACAACAGGACUCUGAUUCUGCUCUCCCCUGCCAUUACAUCAUCACUCCACGCCGGCAGGGGUUGCGGUGACGUCAUCAAGGAGGGCGGCUUGCCCCGCCUGGCCAUGGCCGAGUGACUUGCGGCCCAGCGAAUGACAAGAGCGCGUCCGAGGGUGGGGCCCGCCUCAGUCUCACAUGAUUGGCUGCUGGAUGGAAUUAAGGUGAAUGGAACACAUGUCCAACGAGCAGGACUCUAACCUAUCGGAAGGGGAAGAGAAACGGGUACAUCCAAGCUACCUGGAGAAGGAUGAGCCCUGCGUGGUGUGUGGAGACAAGGCCACUGGCUACCAUUACCGCUGCAUCACAUGUGAGGGCUGCAAGGGGUUCUUCCGACGUACCAUCCAGAAGAACCUCCACCCCGCCUACUCCUGCAAGUACGAUGGCUGCUGCAUCAUCGACAAGAUCACCCGCAACCAGUGCCAGCUGUGCCGCUUCAAGAAGUGCAUCGCUGUGGGCAUGGCCAUGGACUUGGUCCUGGACGAGGCCAAGCGCGUGGCCAAGCGGCGCCUGAUCGAGGAGAACCGCGAGCGGAGGAAGAAGGAGGAGAUGGUGAAGACGCUGCAGAACCGGCCCGAGCCCACCAGCUCCGAGUGGGAGCUCAUCCGCCUGGUGACGGACGCCCACCGCCACACCAACGCGCAGGGCUCGCACUGGAAACAGAAGCGCAAGUUCCUGCCAGAGGACAUCGGCCAGUCUCCCGUCGCCCCCACAUCAGACGGGGACAAGGUGGACCUGGAGGCCUUCAGCGAGUUCACCAAGAUCAUCACGCCUGCCAUCACCCGCGUGGUCGACUUUGCCAAAAAACUGCCCAUGUUCUCAGAGCUGCCUUGUGAAGACCAGAUCAUCCUUCUGAAAGGCUGCUGCAUGGAGAUCAUGUCCCUGCGGGCGGCCGUGCGUUACGACCCCGAAAGUGAGACGCUGACGCUGAGCGGCGAGAUGGCCGUCAAGCGCGAGCAGCUCAAGAACGGCGGCCUGGGCGUGGUGUCGGACGCCAUCUUCGACCUGGGCAAGAGCCUGGCGCAGUUCAACCUGGACGACACGGAGGUGGCACUGCUACAGGCCGUCCUGCUUAUGAGCUCAGACCGCACGGGUCUCACCUGCAUUGACAAGAUCGAGAAGUGCCAGGAGAUGUACCUGCUGGCGUUCGAGCACUACAUCAACUACCGCAAGCACAACAUUCCCCACUUCUGGCCCAAGCUGCUGAUGAAGGUGACGGACCUGCGCAUGAUCGGGGCCUGCCACGCCAGCCGCUUCCUGCACAUGAAGGUGGAGUGCCCCACCGAGCUCUUCCCCCCGCUCUUCCUGGAGGUGUUCGAGGAACAGGACGUGUGAGGGAGAAGGAGGAGCGAGAGAGAAAGAGAGAGAGAGAUGGAAGGAAGAGGAGGAGGAAGAGACGGAGGUCCCGAUCAGAACCGGAACCGGAUCGGUUCAGAUGGGAGCAGAGGAGCGGCAGAAGGAACCGAGAGCCCUGGACACGAGGCAGGAAGGACUCGUCGAGCGUCACUUUCCCUCCCUUUUUCCUGUCGCCGCCGCCCACCCUAUCCCGGGGAAAACGUUUUGCUUGUUUGUUUGUUGUUUUUUUGUUUUUUUUUUGGAGAAGAGUAAACAUGCGCAGUCUCGUCUCGUCACCCACAUGUUUGAAAAGCAGACAACACCAGCAGCAGCUUUGGGGAGGGGAGGGAGCGGGUGUGAGGGUGGGGGUAGGAGGGGUCACCACCGGCGAUGCUUCUGUGUCCUGUAUUUUUUUAUGUUUUUUUUAUAUGUUUCUUUAUGGUUUGGUUUUGGGGAGGUUGCUUUAAGUUCAGAUGCUCCGCCCUCAGCCCCCAUCACCUGACCCCCCUACCCCCACCCCCACCCUGGCUCCCUCCACACACACACGCCUCACUGCUCAGAUAAGAUACAGUAUGCUGGCCCUUCUGUCUCUGCUCUUCGUCCUAUACUGACAGUUUACCUUUUCCUGCCGUAGUACACCUCAAGUGUAGGGGAACACACUCUCACUCACAAACACACACAUACACAAACACAGUCGCACUCACUUUCACACAUAAUCAUAAAACCUCUUGUUUGUGUACAAACUUCUCAGACCGUUGUUGAAGGCUGGCAUUUCUGAAUAACAGGAAAUUACAUCAGCGCCAGCCUUUUUUUAUUAUUAUUAUUUUUUUUUUUUUAAAGGGCGUAGCUUCUCAGCUAUCUCAAACAGAUUCUCUGUCCGCCCUUUACAAGACAACCAAUAAGAUAACUGGUCAGUUGUAUUUCAUUGUAUGUACAUGUAUCUCAGCAUUACUGUCGUCAGGGCUGCGUUGUUUUAGGAUCCAGGAAUUUUUCGGGAAAGCUGCUGGCAACGCUUUUUUAAGGCAGCAACCACCAAUACACUCAAGUGGGAAUUCUCCCUCCUCUUUUCAUUUGUUUGAUUUCAUUUAUUUGAAUUGUGUUUUGCUCUGUUUUGUUUUCAUUAUUUUUUUUUUUUACUCAAGUAAAAAAAAAAAAACGACGGACAGACCUCAUUUCACUCGUUUCUCUCUCUCUGUGUUUAAUGAGAAACCUGAGCCUCACACACACUUGAGCGGGAGGAGGAUUCUCAACAACCACACCCUGGUGCUAUGUCGGAUUUGUAUUGCUAUUUAACAGGAGAGGUGCCUCAGUAUGGGCCUAUUUGGGGGUCUUGGAAGGGAGGAGGGCGGCUGACAGCAUCGUUCCCCCAAACUCACCUCCACCACUCGGACCCCCCACCCACCACCUCCUCCCUGUUCCACAACCCCACACUGCCCUAAAGCUCGGGGUCUACAUUUAAUUUGAUUUUUUUUUUAAUGUUGUUUCCAGAACUGUUUUAAGGACUACCUGAGGCACACAUAUACACUUACAAGAACACAAACACACACACAUACACAUAGACACACACACACAUGCAUAUAAAAAACACACACACGCACACAUGCGCAUAAAAAAAACAGUGCAACCUCAGAACCUUUGUGUGUAGUUUUGCCAUGUCAUUGCCUGGGCUUGCUCUGCCAGGCCAUGGACCUCGUCUGAAUGACAAUUAAGCCCUUCUUUCUCAGGAAAGUCACUACAGGGGAAACUUGAGAGAGAGAGAGGGAGAUAGAGAGAGGGAGAGAGAGAGAGAAGGAGAGAAAGGGAGAGGCUAAGCGAGUGAUGGCUGGACAAUAAAGGAGAGUGUGUGAAGAGACUGAAAGGGGAGAGAGAAAGCGAGACCAACUUUAAAAGAGCUGGUGAAUGGGUCCAGUGCCCAGCUACUUCUAAAGAAUCCAGCCUUUGACCACAUACAUACACACACACACACACACACACACACACACACACACACACACACACACAUACACACACACACACACAGAACUCUCACACAGGCAGACCUCGUCAAAACGCAGACUAUCUGAAUAGCACUGAUUAGCAUCAGGAUAGGGUAGCCAAGGCAUCCUCGACACACUCAUGUAGACACACAAGACACGCACACACACACACACACACACACACACACACACACACACACACACACACACACACACACACACACACCUCAGAGAGAGACAAAAAAAAAACUCAAAUGCCUCAUUUUAACUGUAUGCACUGCAGUGCUAAUGUAUGCCCUGCCGUCCAGGGUUCUGUGAGUUUUUUAGUCCUGAUCCUCCACACUCUGCAGUCACCGCCGCCAUGGUAACAGAUAGACACACACACACACACACACACAGACAGAUACACACAUGCUCUGACACACACAGAAAACAACCAUUGGCGGUUGGUGCUGCAGGAAUGGCCAUCCUAUUUACCUCAAAAUGUGGGCACACCUCAGGCUGUGGCUCAUAGACUGCCUCUGUGCUAACAGGCUCUACCUCACCUCUGAACACAGGGCAGCUACCCACAGCCUCUUCCCACACACACACACACACACACACACACACACACACACACACACACACACACACACACAAUAUACAAACACACACUCACCAGUUACCCUCAGUGUUGUAUUCACACACACACAUCCCUCAGUCCUCACAGAUCUGUUGAUAUACCACUGCAGACAGGAGGGCCGGCUCAACACCCCCCCUCCCUCCUCCCCCCUCAUUCACACACACACACACACACACUCAAGCACCCCCCACCCCAUCACCCUCCACAAGCUAGCAACCUAUCCCCUAUCCCCCUACCUUCUUUCCUCAUGGUUGGGCUGGGUUAGGAUAGGGGCCUGUUUGAUGGGGAGGCGUGGGACACUAGUAGGUGUCCCAUUAUUUCUUUCAUUCUGUCUUUACCUUUUCAGUACCUUUCGGUCAUUUAUGUGGGACCAAGUGUUGCUUUUGUGUUUUUUUUUUGUUUGUUUGUUUUUGUUGUUGUUUUUUUUUUUUUUUCUCGAUUUUGACAAAUUUGGAGUCCCCUCUUGGCUGAAGGAUCCCUGCAGUGCGGGAGGAAACCAUGUGACUUGUGACAGACAGGUGCUCCACCCAUGAAGAGGGCAACGCUGAGAGAGACUAAAUCAUGUGUCUACAACCUACUCAGAGGCCUCGGGGGCAUGAACACCGAAUGAGAAGCAGGCCACUGCUGGCCAAAGCCGUGUCUCCUCUCCAACUGGACGCCGUUAGAAAAGCAGCCACAAGAGAGAGCAGCGCCCACGUCCGUGGGCAUGUGUGUGUGUGCACACGCGUCUGUCUACGGAGAAGAGUUUCCACCUUCCCCAUCAACCUGGUUGGGAGGAGAAGGCUACCGGCAAGUAGUGGAGCCUUGAUUACAGCUCUCCAGAGGAGAUGAGAGAGAGAGAGAAAUGGAUGAUUGAAUGAAUGAGCGAAUUCUCUUGCCCCUGGAAGGAGUCUGUCUCCGCCCUCUCUCUCUCUGUCCUACAGGCUUUGCACUCCUGGAAGGAGGGCAGCCUGAUUUCCCCCCUCUGAGAUGAGCAGAGAGAGGUGUGGCAUUCCACUGAUGCGGGUAUGUGAUACUCGCAUCCGGAACAGUCAUGACAAAGGCACAGGACGGGAGGAGACCAAAACAGACAGAUCUGGCAGGAGUCCUUGAGUCCGGAGAGUCGAUCAGAUUGUGUGUGUACAGUAUGUCUGGUUGCUUGUUAGUGUGUGUGUUUAACAACAGAGGUUAUAAUGCUGCUUUACCCUCUGUGUCUAACUUAAUUUGAAAGAAAGUAUCUUAUGAUGAUAUAAUCAAAGUCCCAGACACCUGUUGAAAUUUGAAAGACUCCAGAACAAAAAAAAAAGAUGAGCAUUUUUUUUAAAGAAAAAAAAGAAUCUCAAUGUUUUUGUUUGUUUUUUGAUGCUUAACUGCUCUGUGUAGAAGAGAGAAAAGAACAGAGAUAGUCACCUUCUUGACCAUGCGUGCAGUGUAACCUAGACAAAAAGAAUCUUCACCUCUUUCACACAUCACUUCUAGUUUCUAUUGAAAAAGCCAACUGCUCUCUUGUCUGUGUAGCUGUCCUAUCGUCCGUCCUUUUGUCAAGAGGAAUUUACAAACAAAAAAAAAAGACAGGAAUAUUUUCCUUUUUUUAAAAAAUAAUUUUUGUUUCCUUUUUUUAAUGAAAGACUGAAUAAGCAUACGUACAUACAUACACACAUAGGAAAACGUAAUGCAACAGAAAACUGAAAAUAUGAAAAGAAAAAAAAAGAACUGAAACAAACCCUCUCAUACCUCACACAACACAAAACUAAUGAAUUUGGGUGCGAGUGCAGAACUGCUGGCACUUAUUCUAAGUGUCAAACACAUGCAUGUGUAGAGAUGUACAUUGAGAUAUAUGUGCUUGGUGCGCGUGCGCAUGUACAGACAUUACAGAAGCACUCCCCUCCUCACCCCAUCUCCCAGACGGUCACCACCACCACCCCACUCCCUCCAAACAAAGAACCCUCUCCGAGCCCCCAUUAGCCCCCCCACCCCCCGUCACCUUGAUGGCAGCAUCUGCCCAUGGAGGUCAGGUGCACACAUGGCUUCUAACUGAAGGACUCUGGCAGCAACUUCAGGAGUCAGUGUCACGGCCUGCGUCGGACUCUAUCACACGGUAUUCUCUGAGAUCUUUUGAUUGAACCCAGUUUAUGUGUGCGUGCACUGUAUGUAGGUUUGUUUGUUUGUAUGUAUGCGUGUAUGUAUAUAUAUAUAUAUAUAUGUGUGUGUGUGUGUGUGUGUGUUUCUGGACUGGGGAAAGGAGAGGAGUGUUUUUGUAGUCGUGGAGCGCCUCAUGGUAUUGAAUGUAGCUGACAGGCCUGGGCCCAAACUGAGCCCGGCAAAACCAGAACCUGAAACUCACUUCAGGGCACCAGCAGAGUGGACUGUGCUGUCAAAAAAAAUGAUGUUACACACAACAAACUGAGAAUAUUGCCCAUCUGCAAGGUGCAAUAUGUUGUUCAAUUUUUGUUGUUGUUCUUUUUGUACCUUUUAGUUUGUUUUUGUUUGUUUUUCUUUUUUGAUUUUUUUUUGGCCAUAACCAAGGAUGUAAAUACAAAAAAAAAAAAAAAAAAAGAUUAAAUCAGUAUAUGUAAAUCAUAUGCAACACACACAUACUGGAUGUUGAGGCCAGGAUACGAGACCCCAUAUCGGCGAACUUCCACCAUCUUGUAAAGUUUUGAGAAAAAAAUGCAUAUGUAGCUAUGUUAAUGCUUCAUACAUCUGUAUGUGUCCUUGUGUGCACUCGCAAAACGCGCAUGUCGAUCCAUGUUAUGGAAAAGUGCCCCAUGAAGUUAAAGAUCCAACCCUGUGCCUCCUAUUCUUCAAAAAGAGAUGAUUCUAACCAAUGACUGUACAACAGUUUACGGUCAUUAACUAACACAUACACACACAAUCACGAUCACACACACCCCUCUGAUCCGAACAGGAACCUGUUGACUGAACUGAGCUGCCCGUUCAAACGGCAGAAAGUGUUCGUCAGUGUGAUGGGCCCUUUGGGGGGAAGGAAGGAGGAUGGAUGCAUGUCAGUAGAAAGGAGAGGGCAUAUGUCUUGGAGAAAUGUGUAGACCCUCCCAGACUGGUGCAGUCAGGGGCCCCACACUACAGACAGUUAGACGGAUGCCCUGUCCCCACGGCUUGCUACUGCCAAUCACGUCUUUAAUCUGGGAAAACACACACAUGGACAGACAUGGUCACACUCACUUGCAUGUGUGCAGACAAAAAAAAAGACAUCUUUCCGAAUUUACUAAGCUACUUUCGAUAACACACGGAGCAGGGAGGAUAUUUCUAUUUCUUCAGUUGUUGACAUGGCUUUGUUUGUUUUUUUCCCUUCAUGCCAAAUGUAGAGGAAGUUUUGUCCUGAUUCUUUUUUUUUUUU